rnacentral:piRNA from 1 species
UGUCUUUCUAAAGAUGUUGCCAUUGGAAA